UCAGAUGGCUGGAUGGCCGCCCUGGCCCCUCGGGGCCGGGGAGGAAAGUCCGGGCUCCACGGGAACACGGUGCCGGAUAACGUCCGGCGGGGGCGACCCUAGGGAAAGUGCCACAGAAAGCAAACCGCCCGUCCGCGCGCCGCGCCGGCGGGCAAGGGUGAAAGGGUGCGGCAAGAGCGCACCGCCCCCCUGGAGACAGGGGGGGCAUGGUAAACCCCACCGGGAGCAAGACGGAGUAGGGGCGGCCGGCCCAGCCUCAUGGACCGCAAGUCCUGGGGUGGGGGCCAGGCGGGUUUCCGCGCCGCCGCCCGGGUAAGUCGCGCGAGGCGUCCGGCGACGGGCGUCCCAGAUGAAUGGCCAUCCAUCGCGGGCCGGUCUUCCGGACCGGCCGGCGGGGACAGAACCCGGCUUACAGGCCAUCUGGCGCC
rnacentral:RNase_P_RNA from 1 species